GUUUCAAUUCCUCAUAGGCAGGCUAUCGGCACGGCCAUUCUUGAUUCCUCCUUUAAAUUCGGGUUUCG
rnacentral:sRNA from 1 species